UACGGGGGGGGCAAGCGUUGUUCGGAAUUACUGGGCGUAAAGGGCUCGUAGGCGGCCAACUAAGUCAGACGUGAAAUCCCUCGGCUUAACCGAGGAACUGCGUCUGAUACUGGAUGGCUUGAAUCCGGGAGAGGGAUGUGGAAUUCCAGGUGUAGCGGUGAAAUGCGUAGAUAUCUGGAGGAACACCGGUGGCGAAGGCGGCAUCCUGGACCGGCAUUGACGCUGAGGAGCGAAAGCCAGGGGAGCAAAGCGGG
rnacentral:rRNA from 1 species